rnacentral:rRNA from 1 species
UACGUAGGGUGCGAGCGUUGUCCGGAAUUAUUGGGCGUAAAGAGCUUGUAGGCGGCAUGUCGCGUCUGCUGUGAAAGACCGGGGCUCAACUUCGGUUUUGCAGUGGAUACGGGCAUGCUAGAGGUAGGUAGGGGAGACUGGAAUUCCUGGUGUAGCGGUGGAAUGCGCAGAUAUCAGGAGGAACACCGGUGGCGAAGGCGGGUCUCUGGGCCUUACCUGACGCUGAGGAGCGAAAGCAUGGGUAGCGAACAGGAUUAGAUA